CUCUUCUUUUCUUCCUUUUCUUCCCACCGUCCAAUCUCUCUCUUCCACCACAUCCAGCUCCCCCCUAUGGCGACGACAGGCGAUGGAAAUCCUCCCUACGAAACCGCCGGAGCCGGAGGCAAGUUCCGCAAGCGACCUCUCCGCCGCAGUAUUCCAGCCACACCCUAUGCACGCCCUCCGUCAGCGGCCAGAAACCACAAGCGCACAUACAGACAAAACUGCCUCGCACGGCAUGAGAGGUUUCUUGGCGGUGGUGGUGGACGGCGAGAUUUUAAUUGCAUCGGCGACAAGAAGCAAAUCGAUUUAAUUGGUUUUCCCACAAAGCUUCUAGCGACCUCUGCAGGUUCGACCACUAAUCCGGAGAAAUCGGCCAUUCUCAUAAAGGAAGAUCUAGCUAUGAAGAAGAUAGAUAAGUAGAGUUAACACGGAUGCUACAAAUGUUCCUGUAGGAUUGACACGGAUGCUACCAGGGGUGUUGCUUUGAAGGGGCCGGGAGGGGCGCCCGCCCCCCUGAACUUUUCGGCCAGUAAUAUUAUAUAUGUAGUUUUCGUAUAUAAAUUUUUGGGUAUAUACGUUUUCGACCCCCCGGUUCUAUAGAAAAUUUUGGUUAUAUACGUUUUCGAGCCCCCCGUCGAAACUUCAAGCUUCGCCACUGGAUGCUACACUAUAUAAAAUGUAGGUUUGCUGCUUGGUUUAAAAAUAGGUCUGCUUCUUGGUUUAAAUAAACGGGAGGCGCUCUGAGAGCUGAGGCACAUUCCGGUGACGAAUGAUGGAAUCUGGUGGCUGCUCCAGUGACUUUGGACCUGACCAAGUCGGUUCCUAAUUUCAGAGGAUAAAUAGCUGGCGUACAAGGGAGCAGAUGAACGGGUGUAGUGAUUGUUGGUGGUUUGCGUUAUUUAGUCUUCAUGAGAAGCUAGCGAUAAUUGUUUCAAAAGCAUUGGGCAUCAUUCUCUUCAAGAAACAAAAAAAAAAAAUUGGGCAUCUUCAUGUGCAUACAAAAAUAUACUUAAAGAGGUAUGCUAACUGAAAACCAAUUUUACCUUAAUGUUUUAUGUAGUCUACAAAUAUGAAAUAGAAACAUGAAUGAUAAAAAACUGAAGCUUUUCUCCAAAUAGAUGAAUAUGUAUUUGUCAGGCCCAUUUCAUAUUCAUGGGGAAUAAUUAGAUACAUCACAUUGGGAGUUUAGUGUAGAAUAUGUAAUUUAAAGAAUUACUGAAGCUUACAUCAUUUACAUUCAGUUUCUAUCAUUCAAGUUUCUACUUCUAAACUUAACUGCCCUUUGGAGAAAAGUUUAAGGUAUGUGGCACAAAUAAAGCAUUCAUAAUGUAUCUUGAGUUUUGUGAAUUGGAAGUUAAACGAUCUAUACAAUUCUUUAUAGCUGGUUUAUACACUUUUUGGGUUCGAUGGUUCAUUGAUCAUAUUCAUUUACAAUAGAUUCAUGAGAAUUUAGAAGACAACUAGGAUGGGAGGAGAUUAUCUACGUUCAUUAUAUCAAACACAUAUAUUUUGAUUUUCUUUUGUUGUAUGUGCCUAAAUAAUGUCUAUGUUGUUUGUAUUUGAAGGUAAUAAUACUUGAAUUAAUUUACUAGCGUGAAUAUACUGUUUUGCCGCCGCAAAGCGCGGCAGGGCAAAAUCCUAGUAUAUAUAUAUUUGAAAUCUAACUUUUGUAUUUAUUUGUUUUUAGCUUUGGAAUGAAGAAGGGUAUUUUGAAGAAUCUCAAAUUGAAAAUUUAGUGGUAGAUUUAAUGUCGGGAUUUAUUAAAAAGAUGUUUUGAUCUUGUAAGCAUUAGUUUGUGUUUCAGGGGCGGCACUAAUGAGGAACGAGCCGUAGCACGGGCUACGGCUCAACCUCAUAUUUGCAGUGUAUUUUUUUCAGCUUUUAUAUAUUAGGAUACCCUAAACAUACACGAGAA